rnacentral:rRNA from 1 species
ACGGGUGCGUAACACGUAUGUAACCUACCUUAAUCUGGGGGAUAGCCUCUCGAAAGAGAGAUUAACACCGCAUAACAUUAUCGGAUAGCAUUUUCUGAUAAUCAAAUAUUUAUAGGAUUAAGAUGGGCAUGCGGAACAUUAGCUAGUUGGUAAGGUAAUGGCUUACCAAGGCUACGAUGUUUAGGGGAUCUGAGAGGAUGACCCCCCACACUGGUACUGAGACACGGACCAGACUCCUACGGGAGGCAGCAGUAAGGAAUAUUGGUCAAUGGGCGCAAGCCUGAACCAGCCAUGCCGCGUGCAGGAAGACGGCCCUACGGGUUGUAAACUGCUUUUGUACCGGAAUAAACCUUUUCACGUGUGAGAAGCUGAAUGUACGGUAAGAAUAAGGAUCGGCUAACUCCGUGCCAGCAGCCGCGGUAAUACGGAGGAUCCAAGCGUUAUCCGGAUUUAUUGGGUUUAAAGGGUGCGUAGGCGGUUCUUUAAGUCAGGGGUGAAAGACGGUAGCUUAACUAUCGCAGUGCCUUUGAUACUGAAGAACUUGAAUACACUUGAGGUAGGCGGAAUGUGACAAGUAGCGGUGAAAUG